rnacentral:rRNA from 1 species
GACGAACGCUGGCGGCGUGCUUAACACAUGCAAGUCGAACGGAAAGGCCCUGCUUUUGUGGGGUGCUCGAGUGGCGAACGGGUGAGUAACACGUGAGUAACCUGCCCUUGACUUUGGGAUAACUUUAGGAAACUGGGGCUAAUACCGGAUAGGAGCUCCUGCUGCAUGGUGGGGGUUGGAAAGUUUCGGCGGUUGGGGAUGGACUCGCGGCUUAUCAGCUUGUUGGUGGGGUAGUGGCUUACCAAGGCUUUGACGGGUAGCCGGCCUGAGAGGGUGACCGGCCACAUUGGGACUGAGAUACGGCCCAGACUCCUACGGGAGGCAGGAGUGGGGAAUAUUGCACAAUGGGCGGAAGCCUGAUGCAGCAACGCCGCGUGCGGGAUGACGGCCUUCGGGUUGUAAACCGCUUUCGCCUGUGACGAAGCGUGAGUGACGGUAAUGGGGAAAGAAGCACCGGCGAACUACGU